rnacentral:siRNA from 1 species
UUGAUUUUGUUUUCACUUAGC